UCCUGCCCUAUGAUUUAUUAAAUGGCUGCAGUAUAUUGACUGUGCAAAGGUAGCAUAAUAAUUAGUCUUUUAAUUGAGGACUUGUAUGAAUGGAUUAAUGGAAAAUUUAUUUUAUUUUUAUUAUUUUUAAAAUUUUAUUUUUUAGUAAAAAAGCUUAAUUAUUUUUCUGUGACGAAAAGACCCUAUAGAACUUAAUAUUAUUUUUAAUUAUUUUGAUUUUAGUACAAAAUGUUAUAUUAUUAAACAAUAAUUUUUUAUUGGGGUGAUAAAUAAAUUUUAACUUUAUUUUUUUAAAUCAUUAAUUUAUGAAUAUUUGAUCCAAUUUUUUUUUUGAUUAUAAGAUAAAGUUACCUUAGGGAUAACAGCGUAAUUUUAAUGGGGAGUUCACAUCUAUAUUAAAGUUUGCGACCUCGAUGUUGAAUUAAGAUUAUAAAAUGGGGUAG
rnacentral:rRNA from 1 species